CUAUUGAACUAGAAAUGUUUGAUUAGCAACUAGUACGUCUGUAUAUAUGCAUGGCAUAUUAUACAGAGCAUGAACAUCUGGUUGAGGACAACCAGUUGACUAGUGCAUGGAGAAACUAAAUGUGGUUGGCCUUUGAUGGCUUGGCUACAAUUGAAAUUAAUUUCUUUUGUUUUCUUGGAGAAAAAGAAAUGCUUUUGCAGCCUGCAACAGGCAUAGUCCGUGAUUGGUGAGUCCAUGGUCCAUAAUUAAGUGAUUAUUUAAUUAUGUAUCUGAUUGAUGUUGGUCAUAUUACAGGAAGCUGAGCUAGCUAAGGAG
rnacentral:misc_RNA from 1 species